rnacentral:lncRNA from 1 species
AUGGGAAACUGCGUACCAAAAGUAAGGUGGAAAGUGCCUGUCCCCAUCAGGAGAAAAAGAUAUUCCCAUAAGCAAACACAGACCUGCAUCUUUCAACCAGGUACCAUCAAGGAACAGGUUGCCAAAAAAGAUUCUGUGAAUUCCAGUGAGCUGUGGUACUCGACUGUCAGCCAUGAUGUAAAACAUGAAGUCUUUGUGAUUGACAGCAAUAAUCAGACAGAAUAUGCACUUGUCAGCCUGCCCAAGAGGAAGGCAAAUGUCACCAGCCCUGAAGAGCAUAGUGAAUAUGAUGAUGUCCUAGUAACUUAGAAGGCACCCUUUUGCCUGGGUGAAUGAUGAUAACCAUCCUACCUCUGCUGUUGGGUCUUCAGACAAAUCUCUCUCUUGUUACCAAGCUUACCCAUUAGGCUACGUCCACCAGUCAUUUACUAUGAGACUAAUCUGUCCAUCAACAGCUGGUCAGAGAAAGAAACAUGGACUGGGUACAGGGCUUGACAAUUAAACCAGGGGAAUCUGUACCAGCUGGCAUCAUAACACAAUGCUUCUCUAUAGAAAAUUAGGACCUACAAUAUUUUAAGCAACUGAGGCUGUACAUUUUUCUGGACUUGUAGAAUACUUCUUUUUUUAAAGGGGCCUUAAAGAACUACUGCUAUAAAUCUCAAAAAUGCAAUAAGAACAGGAUCUUUCUGUUUGUUUGGGGAACGUUUCUUAUCUUAAAUGAAAGCAUAAACCUUGUGUUAGAUCCAUUUACUCUUGUACAAAAUUUCUCUGACAUGCUUGAUUUGUACCAUUAUACAAUGCACAAUUUUAAUAAAGAACUACUCAUUCCUUCUAUUCA